rnacentral:rRNA from 1 species
GACGAAUGCUGGCGGCGUGCUUAACACAUGCAAGUCGAACGGUGAAGCGCCUUCCUUUUUGGUGGGUGUGGAUGAGUGGCGAACGGGUGAGUAACACGUGAGUAACCUGCCCCCUUCUCCUGGAUAACCGCAUGAAAGUGUGGCUAAUGCGGGAUAUUCUGGGUCUGUCGCAUGAUGGGUCUGGGAAAGAUAUUGUUUCGGUGGGGGAUGGGCUCGCGGCCUAUCAGCUUGUUGGUGGGGUGAUGGCCUACCAAGGCGGUGACGGGUAGCCGGCCUGAGAGGGUGGACGGUCACACUGGGACUGAGACACGGCCCAGACUCCUACGGGAGGCAGCAGUGGGGAAUAUUGCACAAUGGGCGCAAGCCUGAUGCAGCGACGCCGCGUGAGGGAUGGAGGCCUUCGGGUUGUGAACCUCUUUCGCCAGUGAAGCAGGCCUGCCUCGUUUGUGGGUGGGUUGACGGUAGCUGGAUAAGAAGCGCCGGCUAACUACGUG